UACGAAGGGGGCUAGCGUUGUUCGGAAUUACUGGGCGUAAAGGGCGCGUAGGCGGUGUGUCAAGUCAGGCGUGAAAGCCCCGGGCUCAACCUGGGAAUGGCCGUUGAAACUGGCGAACUGGAGUGUGGCAGAGGGGGGUGGAAUUCCGCGUGUAGCAGUGAAAUGCGUAGAGAUGCGGAGGAACACCGAUGGCGAAGGCAGCCCCCUGGGCUGACACUGACGCUCAGGCACGAAAGCGUGGGGAGCAAACAGG
rnacentral:rRNA from 1 species